UACGGGGGGGGCAAGCGUUGUUCGGAAUUACUGGGCGUAAAGGGCUCGUAGGCGGCCAACUAAGUCAUACGUGAAAUCCCUCGGCUUAACCGGGGAACUGCGUCUGAUACUGGAUGGCUUGAGUUCGGGAGAGGUGAGUGGAACUGCGAGUGUAGAGGUGAAAUUCGUAGAUUAUCGCAAGAACACCAGUGGCGAAGGCGGCUCACUGGCCCGAUACUGACGCUGAGGCACGAAAGCGUGGGGAGCAAACAGGG
rnacentral:rRNA from 1 species